rnacentral:other from 1 species
CGGGUGCUGUUCCUCUCGUGAGAGCUCUAUAUUCACGAGGCCUUAUUCAUUCUUAUGGGAGCUGGCUCUGCGACUGGUCCUGGCCUAUCGCACCCGGCGCCCACCUGGUUUACCAGGUCCCGAGAAUGAGUAGCUCCACGGUUGCUACGGGCCCGC